GGGCGGUUAGCUCAGUUGGCAGAGCGCCACGCUUACAACGUGGAGGUCGCCUGUUCGAGCCAGGCACCGCCCA
rnacentral:tRNA from 2 species